AUUGAACGCUGGCGGCAGGCCUAACACAUGCAAGUCGGACGGUAGCACAGGGGAGCUUGCUCCUCGGGUGACGAGUGGCGGACGGGUGAGUAAUGUCUGGGGAUCUGCCCGAUAGAGGGGGAUAACCACUGGAAACGGUGGCUAAUACCGCAUAAUGUCGCAAGACCAAAGAGGGGGACCUUCGGGCCUCCCACUAUCGGAUGAACCCAGAUGGGAUUAGCUAGUAGGCGGGGUAACGGCCCACCUAGGCGACGAUCCCUAGCUGGUCUGAGAGGAUGACCAGCCACACUGGAACUGAGACACGGUCCAGACUCCUACGGGAGGCAGCAGUGGGGAAUAUUGCACAAUGGGCGCAAGCCUGAUGCAGCCAUGCCGCGUGUAUGAAGAAGGCCUUCGGGUUGUAAAGUACUUUCAGCGGGGAGGAAGGCGAUGUGGCUAAUAACCGCGUCGAUUGACGUUACCCGCAGAAGAAGCACCGGCUAACUCCGUGCCAGCAGCCGCGGUAA
rnacentral:rRNA from 1 species